UGUCGAUGAAGAGUGCAGCCAACUGUGUGAAUUAAUGUGAACUGCGUACUGCUUUGAACAUCGACAUCUUGAACGCAUAUUGCGGCCGCGGGAUAUCCCGUGGCCACGUCUGGCCGAGGGUCGGCUU
rnacentral:rRNA from 1 species